CAAUAGCGUAUAUUAAAGUUGUUGCGGUUAAAAAGCUCGUAGUUGGAUUUCUGCUGAGGAUGACCGGUCCGCCCUGUGGGUGUGCAUCUGGCUCAGCCUUGGCAUCUUCCUGAAGAACGUAGCUGCACUUGACUGUGUGGUGCGGUAUUUAGGACAUUUACUUUGAGGAAAUUAGAGUGUUUCAAGCAAGCGCACGCUUUGAAUACAUUAGCAUGGAAUAAUAAGAUAGGACCUUGGUUCUAUUUUGUUGGUUUCUAGAGCUGAGGUAAUGAUUGAUAGGGAUAGUUGGGGGCAUUCGUAUUUAACUGUCAGAGGUGAAAUUCUUGGAUCUGUUAAAGACGGACUACUGCGAAAGCAUUUGCCAAGGAUGUUUUCAUUGA
rnacentral:rRNA from 1 species